GCGCAGCAGGCGAGAAUUUUUCUCAAUGGGGGCAACCCUGAAGGAGCGACGCCGCGUGGAGGAUGAAGGCUUUCGGGUUGUAAACUCCUGUCAUUUGAGAACAAGGGUAAGCAAAUAACUACUGCUUAUUUGAUAGUAUCAGAAGAGGAAGGGACGGCUAACUCUGCGCCAGCAGCCGCGGUAAUACAGAGGUCCCAAGCGUUGUUCGGAUUCAUUGGGCGUAAAGGGUGCGUAGGUGGCGCCGUAAGUGGGGUGUGAAAUUUCGGAGCUUAACUUCGAAACUGCAUUCCAUACUGCGGUGCUUGAGGACUGGAGAGGAGACUGGAAUUUACGGUGUAGCAGUGAAAUGCGUAGAGAUCGUAAGGAAGACCAGUGGCGAAGGCGGGUCUCUGGACAGUUCCUGACACUGAGGCACGAAGGCUAGGGGAG
rnacentral:rRNA from 1 species